UUUCCUGAAAGAUGUGUUGUUUCCCAACAUUUACUGGAAGUCAUCCGAAAUAACCAAACCAAGAAAACAACAGGGUCACAAGAAGUGGUUAGUAACAGUUGUGUGUCUGUAAGUAUUUCUGUGUCCAGCACAAGCUUCAUCCCGAACAGAAAUGACAGAAUGGGGAGACAAUUAACAAUUAAUUGUGGUUAGCAACAGCACUUUCCACCGGAUAAGCACAACUUGUUUCCAUCAGUAAGUUUAAAGAAAAAUUAUUUAGUUGCGGAAGAUGUGGUUUAAGGGUAUUUACCUUUUGUAUAACUUAAUCUUUGGUGAUGUAAUCAAUCUAAUGUAGAUUAUGAGAAAUUUAGCAAUGCAUCGAUGGUAUAAUAUGGAUGUCUUCUCAAACAUUACUUGAAAAAACGUUAAAGCUAGUUUUCUCGUGGGCCCCUGCUACCAUUCGUUUCCUCCUCUGGUCCUUUCUGUAGCAAAAAUAACUAAUCAGUUGGAUGUACUGGUGUCCGUGUUGUUUAAAGAAUAAAACAUGGCUCCACUGUAUUUGAACCAUCAUACUGUACCUAUAAGCAUUAGUAUUGAUAAACCCGGAGCUAUACUCUGAUCAGAAGUAUAUUUCUAGUGGUCGUCUCCUACCAUUGAAAGAUUAACUGUCGUAUUGAACUUCAUGUUUAAUGUUUAUUUGGUUGUGUUCCAGUGAUGCAAUACAAAUCCUGUUAACGAUUGAUUUUGUGUGGGUUCCUCUUCUUAAAUUUGUCAUUUAUAGUCGGUGUGAUAUCAUCAGUGGUAAAGUUUGAGUUGUUUAUGACUCCCCUCCUGCUUGUUGGCAGAAUAUAACUUUUUAACACUGAGUUGUUGGUGAGCUGGUAUACUGGCACAUAUUUCUAUAUAUUUUUUUAUGAUCAACUCUGUUUCACCAGAUGGCAGUGAGUGCUGUGAGGGUAAGUCAGUACUAGUUAAACAACAAACGUCUUUUGAUCUUAUGUUUUCAUAUCAUAUCCAGAUGUUUGGUUGUCUUUAUGUAACUGUGAGCAGAGGGAAUCAUGUGAAUCAGCCACUGGGGUAUAACAUAGUGUUUGGUGUUGUUUAACCAAUGCAAGGCGUAUAUUUAUCCUGUUUCUGGUUUGACGUGAGUCAUUUUUAAUUGGUGCACACGUACAAGACUUCAAAACCUGACAACACUUUUAAAAGAAUAUCAAUAAACAUGAGGCAACAAAGUGAGGGGAUGCAUUGUGUUAGUGGCUGAUACAAGAUGAUCUCUGAUGACCUCUAUUUAGAUCUCAAUGUUGUUAGUUUCUC
ensembl:lncRNA